AUGGCCGGUUCUUGUGACCCGGUUGUCUUCGGUGUCCUCCUGUGGCUAGAGCCGAGGCUUUACUGAAAAUGCUGAGUCAGGAGAGCGCCAGUCUCAUUCCCUGCGCUACUCAUCCAUCGCUCUCUGCAGUGUCCUUUGUUUCAACCGGGUUUAAGUCAUCGUUAUCCGAGGCGCUGUGUUAACGGGCGGCUUCGGCUCUCUCCGAGCGUGUGGGUGGAAGCGAGUGAUGGGAGAUAAGUACAGGCAUCCAUGUUUAUAUAAAGAGACAACUUUAGACACAAAGUAGUGUGAUUGCAGAAAUAUGAAGAAAGGUGCUUGGAAGCAUAGGAGGAAGUGAUUGAUUCUAUGUUGUGAAACCAAAGAAGUCUUCUGGAAGAGUUUCAGAAUGGCUUCGGUUAUUGCCUUUCCUUGGUGUACUUGCACUACUUGGCUACCUUGCAGUCCGUCCAUUCUUCCCGAAGAAAAA